rnacentral:rRNA from 1 species
ACUCCUACGGGAGGCAGCAGUGGGGAAUAUUGCACAAUGGGCGCAAGCCUGAUGCAGCUCAUGCCGCGUGUGAUGAACGAAGGCCGUUCGGGAUUGUAAAGCACUUUCAGUCGUGAGGAAGGUAGUGUAGUUAAUAGCUGCAUUAUUUGACGUUAGCGACAGAAGAAGCACCGGCUAACUCCGUGCCAGCAGCCGCGGUAAUACGGAGGGUGCGAGCGUUAAUCGGAAUUACUGGGCGUAAAGCGCAUGCAGGUGGUUUGUUAAGUCAGAUGUGAAAGCCCGGGGCUCAACCUCGGAAUUGCAUUUGAAACUGGCAGACUAGAGUACUGUAGAGGGGGGUAGAAUUUCAGGUGUAGCGGUGAAAUGCGUAGAGAUCUGAAGGAAUACCGGUGGCGAAGGCGGCCCCUGGACAGAUACUGACACUCAGAUGCGAAAGCGUGGGAGCAAACAGGAUUAGAUACCCCGGUAGGCUCUG